rnacentral:rRNA from 1 species
GUGGAUUAGAUACCCUGGUAGUCCAUGCCGUAAACGUUGGGCGCUAGAUGUGGGGACCAUUCCACGGUUUCCGUGUCGUAGCUAACGCAUUAAGCGCCCCGCCUGGGGAGUACGGCCGCAAGGCUAAAACUCAAAGGAAUUGACGGGGGCCCGCACAAGCGGCGGAGCAUGCGGAUUAAUUCGAUGCAACGCGAAGAACCUUACCAAGGCUUGACAUAUACCGGAAACGGCCAGAGAUGGUCGCCCCGCAAGGUCGGUAUACAGGUGGUGCAUGGCCGUCGACAGCU